UACGUAGGGGGUCUAGCGUUGUCCGGAAUUAUUGGGCGUAAAGAGCUCGUAGGCGGUUUGUCGCGUCUGCCGUGAAAGUCCGGGGCUCAACUCCGGAUCUGCGGUGGGUACGGGCAGACUAGAGUGAUGUAGGGGAGACUGGAAUUCCUGGUGUAGCGGUGAAAUGCGCAGAUAUCGAGGAGGAACACCGAUGGCGAAGGCAGCUCGCUGGAACGGUACUGACGCUGAGGCGCGAAAGCGUGGGGAGCGAACAGG
rnacentral:rRNA from 1 species